rfam:Camelus ferus unplaced genomic scaffold scaffold4120, whole genome shotgun sequence.
GAGGGUAUAGCUCAGUGGUAGAGUACAUGCUUAGCAUGAGUGAAGCCCUGGGUUCAAUCCCCAGUGCCACCA